UACAGAGGGUGCGAGCGUUGUUCGGAAUUAUUGGGCGUAAAGCGCUUGUAGGCGGCUUGUUAAGUUCCGUGUGAAAUCCCCAGGCUUAACCUGGGAAGUGCGCGGAAAACUGGCGAGCUUGAGUGCCGGAGAGGGUCGCGGAAUUCCCGGUGUAGAGGUGAAAUUCGUAGAUAUCGGGAGGAACACCAGUGGCGAAGGCGGACGACCUG
rnacentral:rRNA from 1 species